AAAAGUAUUUUAUUGGUGCAGGAUUUUUCUCAGCCCCUUCAUUGGAUUCGCAACAGGGUGCCCCAUUUACUCAGCCCACCGCACUUAACCACUUGCAGGAGGAAGCAUGUAAAGCGAGUGAGUGCAAGAUCCAGCCAGCUGCUCCAGGCACCAGUGGAAACAAGCUCCAUGCAGGGCCCACGGCCGCACCCAGGUGGGGGUGCCUGUGACCCCAAAGCCCCAGAGAGAGUGUUGCAGUGCUCUCUUAGCUCCUCCAUCUGCAGAUGGCUGUGUGUUAACAGCUUAGUUGGCCCGUUGCCUCAUUGCACCAGGGGGCUUCCCUCUGCCAGUGAGAGCAAAGGGCCGAUGUGACAGCCUUUUGUGUACCCGCCCUCAGUGGGUCCUGAGCUCUUGUCCAGCAUCCAAGAAGAAUGAGGUCAUGCAGACACCUGAAGGAUGGUGAAGGUGUGAAAACUGAGUAGCAACCUCUGGCCAGCUAUUUAAGGACACAUGGCCCCCAGCAGCUGAAGGCUCUUAGGAAGAGCUAAGAUGAACAGUUUCCACUCAGUGAAUGACUGCUCUUCCCCUAAGCAUUCACUGGAAUGCCUCUCGGGACAGACUCCUCCGGCUAUGGUCAUGGACCGCGUCCUUGACCAUCUGAGAGAAGUGCAAUAGUCGGAAAUGCAGGAGCCACAGCUCUUCUGAUUGUAAAUGCGCUGAGAGGACAUUCCACAAAACUGUCCAAGUGGGGCCAGCCUUUAAUCCAGGCUGAGGUCCUAGGAACCGAGGCUGAGGCUGGGCUACUGUUCACUGUGGAUGUGAGGCCAAGGAAGCCACAAGAGAGAACGGGGAUCUGGAAAGGAAAGAGGCUGCCUGAAAGGAAGUGGCUCCACAGGAGACCUCAAGGCAGGGUGGCACAGGGCAGGGUUCCACAGCAGCUAACGGAACAAGUGUGGCAACAUGGACAUGUAAGCACAUGAUUUACUACUUAGACUGACUGAGCAGAGUCCACAGAAUGGAAUGUCCAGGCACCUUUAAACAAAACUGGAGGCCCCUGCCUGCUCUCCUUCCCAUCCAAGAUGGUCGGUGUGGUCUUACUACUCACCUUGUUUCCUAGGCCCGUAUUUAGUUCCCUCCAAAAUGUCAUAAUAGUAAAUGGGCUAAUGUGUUGCCUUUCCAUGAUAUUUUAUGGCAAUAGGUGGAGUUAAGCUGACUUAUCUGCUUCACGUUUUUGCUUCACAGCAGAGGUCUCUUCAUUUGAUUCUCUUUUAUGUGUCUACUUCUUUAUAAAUACUGUGAAAUGUGAGACCUAUAUUUUUAUAGUACUUUUUCUCUAUAUGCAAUGCAAUUCUUGAAAUAUUUGGAUUAUUAACAAAUUUUUAAUUGUUUUCUAAUAACUGUAUUUGUGCUUUCUUUCCCCCAAUUUUUCUGCUUUCUCUGGUUUUAAUUGGCCAUUUUAUAUAAUUCCAUUUUAUAUCCUCUCAGUGUGUGAAUUAUAAUUCUAUUUUUUAUUUUAUAGUAAUUGCCAUAGGUUUUCCAAUAUUCAUCUAUAUCUAAUCUAAGUUUACCUUCAGAUCACACUAUAGAGCUUCAUAUGCAGUGCAAGUACCAGAAUAUUUCUAAUUUCUCCCUCCCACAAGUUAUCACAUUACUGCCAUUCAUUGGUCACUGCCAAGGGCUGGAGGGAGGGGUGACAGCUAAUGGAUAUGGGGUAUCUAAAUAUUUUGUAAUUAUUAAUAGAUAGUGGUAAUUUGUUAAUAUCCAAAUAUUUCAAGAAUCACAUUGCAUAUAGAUAAAAAAGUAAUAUAAAAAUAUAGGUCUCACAUUUUACAGUAUUUUAGAAACAAGUCAAUAACCUGGUUUCAUGUGAAUACACAAAAAACCUCUGAAUCACACACUUUAAAUGGUUAAAUUUUGUAGUGAAUUAUAUCUCAAUAAAGGUAUUAUUAACAAAAGCUCACAUAUUGUAUGAUCCUGUGUAUAUAAUAUUUUGAAAUGACAUUAUAGAAAUGGAAAACAAAUGAGUGGUUCCCAGGUAUUAUGAAUGGGGGGAGGGAAAGGGGACACAGGUGGGUGUGGUUAUAAAAGGGCCACAAGGUGAUCUUCGUGGUGCCAGAGAUGUCCAGGAGUUUCUGUGACAGUGGAUACAUGUGAUUACAAAUGUAAUAAAAUUAGAUACAACUAAGUACAUCCACAAAUGAGCACAAGGAAAACUGGAGACAUUUGAAUAAAAUCAGUGGGUCGUAUCAAUGUCAAUAACCUGAUUGUGACAUUAUACUAUAAUUUUGCAAGUGGUCACCACUGGGGGAAA
rnacentral:lncRNA from 1 species